GAUGAACGCUGGCGGCGUGCCUAAUACAUGCAAGUCGAGCGAACAGACGAGGAGCUUGCUCCUCUGACGUUAGCGGCGGACGGGUGAGUAACACGUGGAUAACCUACCUAUAAGACUGGGAUAACUUCGGGAAACCGGAGCUAAUGCCGGAUAAUAUAUUGAACCGCAUGGUUCAAUAGUGAAAGACGGUUUUGCUGUCACUUAUAGAUGGAUCCGCGCCGCAUUAGCUAGUUGGUAAGGUAACGGCUUACCAAGGCAACGAUGCGUAGCCGACCUGAGAGGGUGAUCGGCCACACUGGAACUGAGACACGGUCCAGACUCCUACGGGAGGCAGCAAUAGGGAAUCUUCCGCAAUGGGCGAAAGCCUGACGGAGCAACGCCGCGUGAGUGAUGAAGGUCUUCGGAUCGUAAAACUCUGUUAUUAGGGAAGAACAAAUGUGUAAGUAACUAUGCACGUCUUGACGGUACCUAAUCAGAAAGCCACGGCUAACUACGUG
rnacentral:rRNA from 1 species